rnacentral:misc_RNA from 1 species
GAUGAGAACGCAGCGAAAUGCGAUAAGUAAUGUGAAUUGCAGAAUUCAGUGAAUCAUCGAAUCUUUGAACGCACCUUGCGCCCUUUGGCCAUUCCGAAGGGCAUGCCUGUUUGAGUAUCAUGAACACCUCAACUCUUUAUGGUUUUCCAUGAUGAGCUUGGACUCUGGGGGUUUUGCUGGCUCACAGUCGGCUCCUCUAAAAUGAAUCAGCUUACCAGUGUUUGGUGGGUAUCAUGGGUGUGAUAACUAUCUACGCUUGUGGUUUUUCCACCAGGUAACCUUCAGCAGUGGAGGUUCGCUGGAGCUCAUAGAUGUCUCUCCUCAGUGAGGACAGCCCUUUGAAUGUUUGAUCUCAAAUCAGGUAGGACUACCCGCUGAACUUAAGCAUAUCAAUAAGCGGAGGA